rnacentral:ribozyme from 1 species
GAGAGCCAAAUGAAUCGAAAGAUUCAUGUUUGGUUCGUUCAUCAAUGCACAUGGGGUUCUUUUAUAGGCAAUGCUUCUUUUAUUUUUCUUCUGUGGUGCCAUUGGAGU